AGUAGUGUGCUUAGUGGGUAGAGCACAGGCCUGAGAGUCCGAAGGACCUGGGUUCUAAUCCCAGCCCUGCCA
rnacentral:tRNA from 1 species